rnacentral:rRNA from 1 species
AUUGAACGCUGGCGGCAGGCCUAACACAUGCAAGUCGAACGAACUCUUCGGAGUUAGUGGCGGACGGGUGAGUAACACGUGGGAACGUGCCUUUAGGUUCGGAAUAACUCAGGGAAACUUGUGCUAAUACCGAAUGUGCCCUUCGGGGGAAAGAUUUAUCGCCUUUAGAGCGGCCCGCGUCUGAUUAGCUAGUUGGUGGGGUAAUGGCCCACCAAGGCUACGAUCAGUAGCUGGUCUGAGAGGAUGACCAGCCACAUUGGGACUGAGACACGGCCCAAACUCCUACGGGAGGCAGCAGUGGGGAAUCUUGCGCAAUGGGCGAAAGCCUGACGCAGCCAUGCCGCGUGGAUGAUGAAGGUCUUAGGAUUGUAAAAUCCUUUCACCGGUGAAGAUAAUGACUGUAGCCGGAGAAGAAGCCCCGGCUAACUUCGUGCCAGCAGCCGCCGUAACAC